AAUAAUUUUCCAUGAACUUAAAAAUUCUUUAAAAUUCAUUUAUUUGAAAAGGAGAGAGACAGGACUCCCAUUUACUGGCUCACUCCCCAAAUGCCUAUAACAGCUGAAGCUAGGCUACACUGAAGCCAGGAGCUUGGGAUUCCAUCCAGGGACCUAAGAAUAUGAACCAUCAUGUGCUGUCUCCUAGUUUCUGCAUCAAUGGGACCACAAAAUUGAGAAUGGAGCCAGGACUGGAGCACAGACACUCUGAUAUGGGAUGCUGGUGUCCCAAGUGAUGUCCUAGGUGGUACAUCACACACCUGUCCCUUUAGAAACUUUGAAGCCCCUUUGUAUAGCUAGCUCCUCACCCCCUAAAGCAUGAACCCUUGGGGACAUGGCAUUUGCUUUUUGGAAUGUACCAUAUGGGCCUCAGUAAAUUAAAAAAAAAUGACUGUAGUUUUGCUUUAAUACAGAACACAAUAACUAGAAAGUGUCUCAUGAAAAAACAAUUCUUCUCUCUGAACCUUUGUCUCUUAUAUGAUUAAAUAAUAUGUUACUUCCUCCAUCCAUUUGCAAUGCUAAUCAGUGUUUCAAUGCCAGGAAAUGAUAUUAGCCAACAUUUUUUUUUGAGACCUUGCUGUGGUAGGUCCUAUGCUAAUUGCUGAUCAUGAAUUCUUUAAUUAUAUGAGGUAGGUGCUUAUAUGUUACAAUGAGGAAACAGCCUUAGUUUCUUGUGUCAGCUAUAACAAAUUAUCACAGUCUUGUGAACUGGAAUUUUCUUCUCUCAUAGUUCUGGAGGCCAGAAGUUGGAAAUUAAGGUGUUGGUAGAGCUGUGAUUCCUCCAGAGGCUCUAGGGAGGGGAUUUUGUUUCUUGUCUCAGCAAACUUUUGAUGGCUGUCAGUAUUCCUUGGCUUGUGGCUAUUCACUCUGAUAUCUGCCUUUAUAUUCAGAUGAACUUCUCUUCUACUCUAUUUGUCUCUUGUCUGAGUGUCUUUUACAAAGACUCUUAUCAUAAGAAGUAGGGCUCACUUAGAUAAUCCAAGAUGAGCUCAUCUUGAUCUCUUUAAUUUAAUUCCAUCUGAAAGUCUCUUCUUCCAAACAGAAUCACAUUCCCAGAUUCUGGAAAUUAGAAAAUGGAUCUAACUUUUUGAGAGGCAACAUUCAAUUUGCUAGACAAUGUGUAGACAGCUUAUAGCCGAUGGUAGACAUAAGAUUCCAACUCUUGUGUUGGGAACUUAAGAGUUUGUGGAAGGCCGGCACUGUGGCAUAGCGGGUAAAGCACUGCCUGCAGUGCUGGCAUGCCAUAUGGGCGCUCGUUCAAGACCCGGCUGCUUCACUUCCGAUCCAGCUCUCUGCUAUAGCCUGGGAAAGCAGUAGAAGAUGGCCCAAGUCCUUGGGCCCCUGUACCCACGUAGGAGACCUGGAAGAGGCUCCUGGCUCCUGGCUUCAGAUCAGUGAAACUGCGGAUAGAAGACUCUCUUUCUAGUAUCUCUCUCUACCUCUGCCUCUCUGUAACUCUGCCUUUCAAAUAAAUAAAUAAAUAAAUAAAUAAAUCUUAAAAAAUAGGAGUCUGUGGGAACCCCACACUCAUUAAUGGUAGACUUUGGUGUCUUUUCUGACUCUCAGUCACAGGUACAGUUGUAUCAUUUGCUGACGAAUUGCUGGAUGGGAGGCCCAUUCUAAAGGAACUCAAAUAGACUUAUGCUUAGAUACAAAAAGCUGGGGCCAGAGACAGUGGAGCCAAAUGUCAUCCCAAGAGUUUCCCUCUUCGGCUCUACUUUGAUGCAAGAUGCCCCAGGUUGAUAGUGUCUUGGAAACAGAGGAGGGAGAGAUCCGAAGAGCUUGGGGAGCCUAAUGCACUGCCAUUUGGGAUGUGCCUGGACAGUGGUCUCUGAGCUUGUGGAAAAAUGUUUAAAAUAUUAUAUAUGCUAGAAGAAAUUAAGGAAGAUAUAGAAUAUAAAAAAUUAAGGAAGAAAUAAAUAGAAUAAUAAUGAAAGAUAACAUUGUUAAGAUGGCAAUUCUACCCAAAGUGAUCUAUGGGGUCAAUGCAGUUUAUAUGAAAAUAUCAGUGAUUUUUUUUUCUUCAGAAAUAGAAAAAUCCAUCCUAAAAUUCAUAUGGAAUUUCAAGGGAUUUAGAAUGGACAAACAAUCUUAAAAAAGAACAAAAUUGGAGGGCUCACACUUCCUGACUUCAAAGCUUACUGCAGUGCUACUGUGUGAUACUUUACUACAGAUAAAUAAACCAAUGAGAUAGACUAGUGAGCCAGCAAUAAACACUCUCAUAUAUGAUCAAAUUAUUUUUGACAACGAUGCCAGGACUAUUCUGUGGGAGAAAAAAAUAUAUCUUUUCAACAAAUAACACUGAAAAAACUAGUUAUCCACAUAUGAAACAGUGAAGUUGGAAUAUUAUCUUACACUCUGUAUAAAAAUUAACUCAAAAUGAGUAAAAAGCCUAAACAUAAGAUAUGAAACUAUAAACUCUUAUUAUAAACAUACAUAAAAUGUUUCAUUAAAUUGGAAUUAUCAAAGUUUUCUUGGAAAUGACACCGAUAAAAAACAGACAACAAAAAAUUUAUAAAUUAGAUUUAACCCAAAUUAAAAACUUUGGACAUCAGCGGUCACUAUCAGGGUCAAAACACAACCCACCAAAUAGGUGAAAAUACUUGAAAAUUACAUAUAUGAUAAGGGGCUAACACCCAUAAUAUUUAAAGAAAUCCUAAAACCUAGAAACAACAAAAAAGAAUCCUAUUCAAAAUGGGCAAAAGACUUGGAAUAGACAUUCUUCAGAGAAGAUACAAAUGGCCAAGAAGCACAUGAAAAGAUGUCUAACAUCAUUAACUAUGGAGGAUGCAAAUUAAAAACACAGUGAGAUAACACUUCAUAUCCACUAAGAUGACUAAAACAAAAACAGAAAACAGGAAUGGGCAUUGUGGCUCAGUGAGUUAAGCCACAGUUUUCAACACUGGUGCCCAUAUUGGAGUGCCAGUUAAGUCCUGGCUACUUCACUUCUGACCCAGCUUCCUGCUAAUGCAUCCCAGGAGGCAUCACAUGAUGGCGUAAGUGCUUAGGCCCCUGCCACUCUUGUGGGAGACCAGGAUAGAGUUCCAGGAUCCUGGCUGGAGCCUGGCCUAGCCCUGACUAUUGCAAAUAUUUGGUGGGUGAACUAGUGGAUUGAAGAUAUCUCUCCUUCUCUCCCUCUCUUUCACUCUCUCUCUCUCACUUUGCCUUUCAAGUAAUCUGAAACUAAUUAAGUAAAUAAAUGUAAAAAAAAUAAGGAGAAAAGAAUAAGUAUUGGUUAGUAUUUGAAGAAAUUAGAAACUUUGUGAACUGUUGUUGAGAAUGUAAAAUGGUAUAGCUACUGCAAGUAACAGUAUGGUGGUUCCUCAAAAUGUUAUACAUAGAAUUACCACACAAUGCAGCAAUUUGAUUUCUGGGCAUAUAUAUAAAGUAUUGACUGCAGGGACUGAGGUAUUCACCAUAGCCAAAGCUUAGAGCAAUUCAAAUGAUCACUGACAAAUGAAUUGAUAAACAAUGUGGUAUAUAAAUAUAAUGGAAUGUUAUUAAAUCUCAAAAAAAAUGAAGUUCCGAUACACACUAAAUACAGCUGAAACGUGAAGAUAUUAUGCUUAGUGAAACAAGUCAUCUACAAAAGAAAACAUAUGAUUCUUACAUGAGGUACCUGAACAGUCAAAUUAAUAUAAACAAAAGUAAAAUAGAGGUUACCAGGGACUGGGGGAAAGGGAAAUGGCAAGUUACUGCUUACUGGUGAAAUGAACUGAAUUGUGUUGCACCUUCCCCCCAUGUUUAUGUUAGAGCCUUAAUGCUCAUUAAAGCUAAAAGAGGCCAUAAGGGUAAGGUCCUAACCUGACAGAAUUGGUGACCUUAUAAUAAGUGAGGGGGAGAUAUUUUCUCUGCCUCUGUCUCUGUCUCUCUCUCUUACACACACAUACACACAAUCUUAUGAGCACACAGUGAGAAGGUUACUACUUGUAAGCCAGGAAGAAAGUUCUCAUUAGAACCUGAUCAUGUUGGUAUUCUGAUCUCACUUCCAGCCUCCAGAACUGUGAGAAAGUUAAGUUUUUGCUGUUUAAGCCACGCAAGUUAUAGCAUUUUGCUAUGGCAGCCUGAGUGCACUAAUAAAGAUGGCUAGGGAAUUUCAAUUUGGGAUGAUGACAGCAUUCUGUAUAUGGAUAGUAGUGAUGGAUGCACAGCAGUGUGAAUGUAUCCACUGCCACUUAACUAGUAUGCCACUGGCUAAAAUAGCAAAUUUUAUGCUAUAUAUUUGUUUUAUACAAUACAAAACUAUCAUGCAGUGUUUAUUUAGUGGUGACUGAAACAGCUGAUUUUGCUUUCUGUAAAUCUAUGAUAGAAGAAGCCAAGGUAUAGGGUCUGGGGGUGGGGCAGGCAAGGGCAGCUCAUAGAAGCCAGGAAGUAAUUCCCUGGUUUUGGGGUGAAAAUUAGAGUAGGAAAAUUGUAUUCAAUAUGGCCUCUGAGUAAAUACACUUUUCUAAGUGUAUUCUGAAUUGAGCAUGUCUCACACUAGUGAUGUGUCUUUUCCAUAUUUUCCAUAUUAGGAAAAAAGUGACAAGAAAUACUAUUAUCUGUUAUUCUGUGAUAGUAAAAAACUGUGCUAGCAGAGAAACUGCCUGGAAACUCCCAGAAGGGUGAGAUCACUCUGGGCUGCAACAUAAAGUGGGGAGAUGGAGAGCCCAGAACAUGACUAUGAAGAGGUUGUUCUACAGACUUAUGCAUAAACUUCUCAAUCUGUCCCUGUUUUGCUGGAUAACAUUAAAGUAAACAUCACACAUAUCAUUUCAUAUCUGACACUUAACUAAGCUUUUCAAAAUGAGGUUGCAAGGAGGAAGCAAAAACAAUAAUGGAGGGAGAACUUUUUUUUCAUCUAUAUACAAAUAACAGUAAUUAUAAUAAUUAAUACUAUCUAAUAUUAGGUCCAUAUUCACUUUCCCCCAAUUGUCUAAAAAUUUAUCUUUUCAGUAAAUUUAUUCUAUUCAUGAUUCAACUAGGUUUUCCUUUCCUUCUUUUUUUCUAGGGUAACAAAAUAUCCCAGACUACUUUCUACGUUUCCUUCCCCACAACUGGAUUAAUUGUUUACCCAAUAAUUCUUAGUUCUAUUUACUGAGGAAUUCUGUUUGGAGACCACAAUUGAGAGCUCAGAGAGGUCUUGCUGUCUGAGUCACUCCCGGAAGCACAGAAAUUCUGGCACUUUGAAGACUGGAGAGUUGGGUCCUUCAGAGACAGUGCUGCCAGCUAGAAGUUCACACUCUUAUUGUGGGUCGUGCUGAUGAUGUGUCUUCUCCACAGCUUCCAAGGUAGGAGAGAGAGAACAGAAGUAGAAACAGCAGGUAGAACAGCAAAUCAAGGAAUGUACUGCUUUGACAAAAGGAUAUGUGAGACUUUGGGGGAUAUUUAGACACUCGUGGGACUAUCCAGAGGAAGAUCAUUUCUGGCAAUCAAGUCAGUAGUGUCAUAUGACAUCACAAUUUGGAUAUGAAAGGAAGUGUGACCUUGUUUCUAGGUGAUUAUUACUAAUCCAUUUGCUAAUUUUAUAAAUCACAACCAGCAUUUCUCAUCAUCAGACAGGGAGUAUCAGCAGUCAUGAGAACAUCCACAGUAAGCAUUCAAACUGUGGCUACAGCAAAUGGGGCUACAAAUGUUAAUUCUAGUUGUUAUGAUUUCAGUUGAAUUUUUGUUUUUUUACAUUUUCAAAAUAUAAAAAUAUAUUUAUGCUUCUAAAUGCUCAUUGCAGGAUUCUUACAUAAACAAUCAUGUGUGUCUAAAGCUUAGAUAAUCUGUGAAAUUUUCUUUCUAUAAACUGUUUUCAGAAUUAGAACAUCAAAAUAUCCAGAUACCAUAAAGUUGUCUUUGUUUUUUGACUGUGAUUCAGUUUAAAAAACAUCAAGUGGAAAUACUUUCUCUACCUCAACUACUAUGAAAUAAGAGGUAAACUUGGGCUGAAAUUGCAGUUGGGAAUGGAAUUCUUGCCAUUAACCAGUAAACUAUUAGAAACAAGAGUGACUAAAUGAAAAUGAAAUAGCAGAGGCCUCAAGCACAGUGUCAGUGUGUAUUCACAUAUCUCAUGGGAAGAAGCUAAUUCCACAAAAUGAGUUCCUUCUACCGAUGAUCUCCUGUGGCUGCAUCAUCCAACUGGGAGCUUGGAAGCAGAGUUACAAAGCAAAGCGCCCAGCCCUGUUCUUCUUUGCAAGUGUUGCAUUUUUGAGUAUUGAGACUAUGGCAUCCCAAAAUAUUUUAAUUUACUUAAAUUUCAGUUUCUUAAUUUUGUAGCAGCAGGGACCUAUUUUGUCUGAGCAAGCUUUCUUUUUUUCAGGCUCUAGUGGAGUUAUGAAUGCAGGAAAAUGUUCAGUUCUAAUGGAGUUAAUGAUAAAAAUGCAAUUAUAAUUCCCCCUUACUCCACAAAUAGAACUCACCAUGUAGUUUGUUUCUCAGUGCUUUGAACAAAGAAAGCUAUAUAAAUGCUAAAUAACAGCAUAAAGUGCCAAAGUGCUCUAGGUAGAAAGAAGAGUAACCAAAAACAGAUUGGAAGAGGUGCCAUAGGAAAUAGAAAAUAAAUUCCAUUUUACUUUCAUUAACAAUGACAAUGUAAAAGUAAUGAUUAAUCACAUCUAAUUAUCAUGUAAAUAACCAUGUUCAUGAUUUAAAUAUUAUAUUUACUCUGUAAUGUACUCCAGUAGCUGUAAACAAACUCUUAUGUAAAAUGCUUGUACUCAUGUGAUAACCUAAGAAGUUCUGAAUAUUGUCCCCAUAGCUUGAGGACUGACUCACUUUCUGUUUUGCACAGCAGAAAGCUGUAGGUAACUGUUGCUCCCCCUCUUCACGGAGGAACGACACAGGACCCUGCGUUGUUCUUUUGUCUGCUCGGCCCUUCCCGGGUUUGCUGCUGGUUCUUCCCGGGUUGGCUGCCGUCCCUCCACCUCUGUGGAGGGGCGGGCCCCCUGCCACUUUCCCCACUUCCGCGGGGGAGCGGCACACCACCGGCCGGCUCUCUCGGGGGCUGCUCAGAUGUUAUCCGAUGUUCCCCUUAGAUGUUCCUGGUGCAUGUUGUCUCUCUCCUC